UACACCACCACUCCGACCCGUCUCCGCCACCGCUCCGCUACGGAGAGGUAGAAGCGUCGGCAAGACUCUCGUCGCAGCUCGCCCUGGAAAGCAAAAAUCACCGCCGCCACGCAGUCUUCGGACCACCGCCAUCGACGGAACAGACUCCGCCAGCAGUUUCCCCUCAAUCUCGAAUUAUUUCAUCAUCAAAUCAUCAAUACAAUCUCCUCAAGAUACCCUGGCGUCUUGAGUCUAGUCUUACGCGAUUCGGAUUAGGAAAACCAAUCUGAGAGGUUGUCUCAAUUUUUCUAGACCUGUCCAUAGAAAGAGACAUUGUAAGGUAUGUUUGUUCAUCGCAUGGUGGAGACUUUAGGAGCAUCUGUCUUUCCUUAUCUUCCAAAGGCAAUGGCUUUACUUGUAGAAAGUGAGGGAAAAGAUGUUAUUUGAACUAUUUCAAGUUUGAUUAAUCACAAAAUCAAAGGUCUGAAUAUAUUGACUUCUCUGAUAUAAGUUAUCAUCUAAUGAUCUUGUUUCUCAGUUUGACUAUUUCCCCAAUAAGCAAUGACAUGACACUAUGUUCUGAUAAUGUGUUUGUAUAUAUAUAUAUGCAUACGUAAUUAAUGAGUUUGACUGUACACAGUUUAUUUUGCCACAUUGAUGAUGCUAAGAUUAUUGGCACUAAAUGCCUUGUACUUGGUAGCCAAAGGAAGUAGUGGGUUUCUGGUGCUGCUUAAUCAGCUUAUCUGCAAAUUCAACACAGCAAUUGGAGACAUUGGAGGAAGUGUACCCCUGACGCCAUGGAGAGAAUGGAGAGAUUUCUUAUUGAUAGACCAGGUUCAGAGUGCACUAUGGACCCCCGUGCAUGUAUAUGUGUUAUGUUGUGAGCUUUUGUAUCUUGUUUUAUGUAAUUCUGUACUUUAAGAUUAUAACUUUUGUACUUAAAAUAAAACAAUAAUUGUGUCUUA